rnacentral:rRNA from 1 species
CGGACGGGUGAGUAACGCGUGGGUAACCUGCCUUGUACAGGGGGAUAACAGUUGGAAACGGCUGCUAAUACCGCAUAAGCGCACGGCAUCGCAUGAUGCAGUGUGAAAAACUCCGGUGGUAUAAAAUGGACCCGCGUUGGAUUAGCUAGUUGGUGAGGUAACGGCCCACCAAGGCGACGAUCCAUAGCCGACCUGAGAGGGUGACCGGCCACACUGGGACUGAGACACGGCCCAA